rnacentral:rRNA from 1 species
GUAGGUGGCAAGCGUUGACCGGGAAUUAUUGGGGCGUAAAGCGCGCGCAGGCGGUUCUUUAAGUCUGAUGUGAAAGCCCACGGGCUCAACCGUGGAGGGUCAUUGGAAACUGGAGAACUUGAGUACAGAAGAGGAAAGCGGAAUUCCACGUGUAGCGGUGAAAUGCGUAGAGAUGUGGAGGAACACCAGUGGCGAAGGCGGCUUUCUGGUCUGUAACUGACGCUGAGGCGCGAAAGCGUGGGGAGCAAACAGGAUUAGAUACCCUGGUAGUCCACGCCGUAAACGAUGAGUGCUAAGUGUUAGGGGGUUUCCGCCCCUUAGUGCUGCAGCUAACGCAUUAAGCACUCCGCCUGGGGAGUACGGCCGCAAAGGCUG